AUUGAACGCUGGCGGAAUGCUUUACACAUGCAAGUCGAACGGCAGCACGGACUUCGGGCUGGUGGCGAGUGGCGAACGGGUGAGUAAUGUAUCGGAACGUGCCCAGUCGUGGGGGAUAACGUAGUGAAAAUUACGCUAAUACCGCAUACGAUCUAUGGAUGAAAGCGGGGGAUCGCAAGACCUCGCGCGAUUGGAGCGGCCGAUAUCAGAUGAGGUAGUUGGUGGGGUAAAGGCCCACCAAGCCAACGAUCUGUAGCUGGUCUGAGAGGACGACCAGCAACACUGGAACUGAGACACGGUCCAGACUCCUACGGGAGGCAGCAGUGGGGAAUUUUGGAAAAUGGGCGCAAGCCUGAUCCAGCCAUGCCGCGUGCAGGAUGAAGGCCCUCGGAUUGUAAACUGCUUUUGUACAGAACGAAAAGGUUUCUACUAAUACUAGGAGCUCAUGACGGUACUGUAAGAAUAAGCACCGGCUAACUACGUGCCAGCCGCCGCCGUAA
rnacentral:rRNA from 1 species